GGGCACUCCAGCUGGAGAUCGUGACAGGAAUUAAGUAAAAGUGAGAAAAUGAUCAUAGAAUUUUCAUAUUUGGGCGAAUUUCCCUUGAACAAUCAGCACCAAAUAUCCCUCACAGCCUUGUUGUCAUUCAUAAAAAAUGUAUAUUGUGUCUUUCCUGACCAAGGCCUAUGAUUUAACACAAUUUGAUUGUGUCAGGCGAUUCCAUGCUCUGACUCACAUUUUAUUCUGGCAGCAUAUGAACGGAUUUUAACAUUCAAAAAGCCUGAUGGAUCCUAUGGAGCUUGGCUAAACCAUCCCACAAGCACCUGGUUGACUGCGCUGGUGGUGAAAGUGUUGUCUCUUGUGGCUGAAAGACAGAUAGAAACUCUUGAACAGCAAGGAACAACAGAGAAGAUGAUUUCGCAGGAAGACAUCCGCCAUGCAGUCACUUAUCUGAUUAAAACACAGAGCUCCGAUGGGUCCUUUACUGAUGCUAAUCCAGUCUAUCACAGGGAAAUGCAGGGAGGUAUUGGAGGAGUUGAGCAAGAUGCCUCUUUAACAGCUUUCAUCACGAUAGCACUUUGUCGCUCCCUCCCUUUCUUGGACAAAGAAGUAACUGAUGUG